GGAGAUGAAGACAAGGAGAUGGAGAAGCCCCAAGGCUCAAGUGGAACGGAGGCGGGAGGCGCGAUGUAGGUCUCGAGGGUAGAGCUCACCUUUGACCUCUUUUUCUGGGAGUGCUUCCGUAUGGAAAGCUAUGACAUUCGUGCCUCUCAAAAAGCCAGGCACACGAGAGGGGGAGAAGAUAACAUUGUCACCUGCUUUACUCUCUGAAGAGGCACAGAAGCCAGAGACGUACUGGACAUCCCGGUGGGACAUGGACCUGUCACGGCAGAUCUUCCUGUAGGUUCACCAGCUCCUGCUGGGAAACGUCUGUUAAAUGACUGGGACCAGGACAAGUGGCAGCUGGGCUCUGAGUGGCACACAUUUCAGGUAUACCUGCUUCAAGGUGACUGCUGAGG